UACGUAGGGCGCAAGCGUUGUCCGGAAUUAUUGGGCGUAAAGAGCUCGUAGGCGGUCUGUUGCGUCUGCCGUGAAAACCCGAGGCUUAACCUCGGGCCUGCGGUGGAUACGGGCAGACUAGAGGUAGGUAGGGGAGAACGGAAUUCCCGGUGUAGCGGUGAAAUGCGCAGAUAUCAGGAGGAACACCGGUGGCGAAGGCGGAUCUCUGGGCCAUUACUGACGCUGAGGAGCGAAAGCGUGGGGAGCGAACAGG
rnacentral:rRNA from 1 species